AGAGACGAGUUCCACGAGGAGCGGUCAUCAUAUGUUGAGGAAAUCUAUGAUGCGACGAAUUGUAUUCGCCACAUACUCUGAUCUCUGUUCUCUUCGAAGAUGAUUGAUAGGACCUCUCAACCAUCGGUAGUGUCCCAUACCAGGGCGGGAAGACCACCCAGUUAUUUGAUCAUUGUUGAGGCCUUCGUAACUUCCUUCGAAUAGAAUAUUCGAAA
rnacentral:lncRNA from 1 species